rnacentral:rRNA from 1 species
UACGUAGGGACCAAGCGUUGUCCGGAAUCAUUGGGCGUAAAGAGCUCGUAGGCGGCCUGUCGCGUCUGCUGUGAAAUCCCGGGGCUUAACCCCGGGCGUGCAGUGGAUACGGGCUGGCUGGAGGCAGGCAGGGGAGAACGGAAUUCCCGGUGUAGCGGUGAAAUGCGCAGAUAUCGGGAGGAACACCGGUGGCGAAGGCGGUUCUCUGGGCCUGUACUGACGCUGAGGAGCGAAAGCGUGGGGAGCGAACAGG